GAGUUUGAUCGUGGCUCAGAUUGAACGCUGGCGGCAGGCCUAACACAUGCAAGUCGAGCGGAUGAAGGGAGCUUGCUCCUGGAUUCAGCGGCGGGCGGGUGAGUAAUGCCUAGGAAUCUGCCUGGUAGUGGGGAUAACGUCCGGAAACGGGCGCUAAUACCGCAUACGUCCUGAGGGAGAAAGUGGGGGAUCUUCGGACCUCACGCUAUCAGACGAGCCUAGGUCGGAUUAGCUAGUUGGUGGGGUAAAGGCCUACCAAGGCGACGAUCCGUAACUGGUCUGAGAGGAUGAUCAGUCACACUGGAACUGAGACGCGGUCCAGACUCCUACGGGAGGCAGCAGUGGGGAAUAUUGGACAAUGGGCGAAAGCCUGAUCCAGCCAUGCCGCGUGUGUGAAGAAGGUCUUCGGAUUGUAAAGCACUUUAAGUUGGGAGGAAGGGCAGUAAGUUAAUACCUUGCUGUUUUGACGUUACCAACAGAAUAAGCACCGGCUAACUCGUGCCAGCCGCCGCCGUAAU
rnacentral:rRNA from 1 species